rnacentral:rRNA from 1 species
UCAGAACGAACGCUGGCGGCGUGCUUAACACAUGCAAGUCGAACGGGUUUAUUGGAUGUAGCAAUACAUUCAAUAGAUUAGUGGCGCACGGGUGAGUAACACGUAGGCAACCUACCCUUCAGUGGGGGACAACAGAGGGAAACUUCUGCUAAUACCGCAUACGGCCUUGUACUGGGAUGUACGAGGAGAAAGGAUUUAUUCGCUGAGGGAUGGGCCUGCGGCCUAUCAGGUAGUUGGUGGGGUAAAGGCCUACCAAGCCUGCGACGGGUAGCCGGACUGAGAGGUCGACCGGCCACACUGGAACUGAGACACGGUCCAGACUCCUACGGGAGGCAGCAGUGGGGAAUAUUGCACAAUGGGGAAACCCUGAUGCAGCGACGCCGCGUGGAGGAUGACGGCC